rnacentral:rRNA from 1 species
AGAGUUUGAUCCUGGCUCAGGAUGAACGCUGGCGGCGUGCUUAACACAUGCAAGUCGAACGGUGAACACGGAGCUUGCUCUGUGGGAUCAGUGGCGAACGGGUGAGUAACACGUGAGCAACCUGCCCCUGACUCUGGGAUAAGCGCUGGAAACGGCGUCUAAUACUGGAUAUGUGACGUGAUCGCAUGGUCUGCGUCUGGAAAGAAUUUCGGUUGGGGAUGGGCUCGCGGCCUAUCAGCUUGUUGGUGAGGUAAUGGCUCACCAAGGCGUCGACGGGUAGCCGGCCUGAGAGGGUGACCGGCCACACUGGGACUGAGACACGGCCCAGACUCCUACGGGAGGCAGCAGUGGGGAAUAUUGCACAAUGGGCGCAAGCCUGAUGCAGCAACGCCGCGUGAGGGACGACGGCCUUCGGGUUGUAAACCUCUUUUAGCAGGGAAGAAGCGAAAGUGACGGUACCUGCAGAAAAAGCGCCGGCUAACUACGUGCCAGCAGCCGCGGUAAUACGUAGGGCGCAAGCGUUAUCCGGAAUUAUUGGGCGUAAAGAGCUCGUAGGCGGUUUGUCGCGUCUGCUGUGAAAUCCGGAGGCUCAACCUCCGGCCUGCAGUGGGUACGGGCAGACUAGAGUGCGGUAGGGGAGAUUGGAAUUCCUGGUGUAGCGGUGGAAUGCGCAGAUAUCAGGAGGAACACCGAUGGCGAAGGCAGAUCUCUGGGCCGUAACUGACGCUGAGGAGCGAAAGGGUGGGGAGCAAACAGGCUUAGAUACCCUGGUAGUCCACCCCGUAAACGUUGGGAACUAGUUGUGGGGUCCAUUCCACGGAUUCCGUGACGCA